UAUGUAUUUGUUUUCGCUUUUAUGUAUUUAUCUCGCCAUAUAUUAUCUUAGCUUAAAGGGUUCUUAAUGUUAUGAUCUAAUUGUCAUCUCAUAUCGAUCUUGUGAAAAUAUCUAUCAAUAAAUUUUAGAGGCAUUUUUUUUUCACUUUGUUAGCUUACUAAAACUCAUAUGUGUGUUGAUCUCCUUUUGCUAUAGAGCAAAAAGGCAGAAAAGGUCUACAUAAUAUUGAGGAAUUAUUUCCACUUUGUUAGCUUAUCUGCAUUUAAAGAUGAUUAUUUGGCUGUUUUGCUAUAUUUGAUUAUUUGUAUUAUCAUUCUUUUAGUCUGUCUUAUGUUUUAUAAAAGCAUUUGUUCACGGAGUUUGAAUCAUUGCUCUACGAGGGAAGUCUGUCAUCCUUGGAUUCGCGUUGAUACUUUCUCUUAUAUGGACGCAGUACUUAAGUCCUCAUUAAGCCUUAUUAAGUACAUGAGUCUCCGAAACAGAUUUUGUGCUUUGUUGGAAGGUCUAAAUGACACUAACUAUGAAAAAGGUAGAUGGUGAAUGAAGGUUGUUGGUGCUUGCUCCCAUGUUACUAAUGAAUAUUGAUACACAUAUGAGACAUUCUUAAAGAAGGUUUCAUAGUAUUCAAAAUCCAAAACGGGCAUGUCAAAUUAGAGCCAAAUUUCAAGGUGAAAACUCAAUUCGUCUUCAAAUCAAACAAAGUGUUACUUUUUAAGUCACUUAUCAGGCCCAUUUGGGACUUCUUUAAGAUGAGGAAAUCUUAAGAGACAAGAAUAAGUGCUCUCUGGAAUCAGUGUUCUUGGUUUGGAUAGGUGAUCCAAGACCUUAUAAAUUUAGUUUUAUAAUCUUUAGUUGUUAUAUCCGGACCAUUCUGGAAUAUUAGUUGGGACUUUUGUCCGUAAGAGGAUGACACCAUAAGGGACGUACAUGAUUAAGUAUUCUCCAGCAGAAUCUUUUUUAUUUUCCUUUUGGGUAGUGACGUUUUGGGGCGAGAAUUGGCUUCUCGGAAACAAACCAACACUAGCUAUGUUUCAUUAAUCCAAAAAGGUAAUUGAGACGUUUACUUUACUGACUUCUAAAGGUUA